GCAGCAGGCCGGCCUGUCGUUGACUGCUUUUUUGCAGUCAGAGGAAAGUCCGGACAACACAGAGCACCACGCUUCCUAACGGGAAGAUGUCCGCAAGGGUAUUGUAGCGUAACAGAGAACAACCGCCCUGCUUGUCGGGGUAAGGGUGAAAAGGUGGGGUAAGAGCCCACCGGUACUGUAGGUGACUAUGGUAGCCGUACGUAACGUGGGUUGCAAGACCAUGUAUAUCCCGGUUCCCUCUGGGAGCAGGGUUGCUCGCCCUGUUGAAAACAGCCGGGAAGGGUAGGUCGCUAAAGGUUAUAGGUGACUAAAACCUUAGAUUAAUGACAGGCGCCAAAUUUAUUUGGUACAGGAUCCGGCUUACAGGCUUGCUGCUUCA
rnacentral:RNase_P_RNA from 2 species